GACGAACGCUGGCGGCGUGCUUAACACAUGCAAGUGGAGCGACGAACCGGGCUUCGGCCCGGGGCAGAGCCGCGAACGGGUGAGUAACACGUGGGUAACCUACCCCGAUGACCGGGACAACCCGAGGAAACUCGGGCUAAUACCGGAUGUUCUCGUUUCUCGUAAGGGAACCGAGUAAAGAUAGCUUCGGCCUUCGCAUCGGGACGGGCCCGCGGCCCAUUAGCUUGUUGGUGGGGUAACGGCCUACCAAGGCGACGAUGGGUAGCUGGUCUGAGAGGACGAUCAGCCACACUGGGACUGAGACACGGCCCAGACUCCUACGGGAGGCAGCAGUGGGGAAUCUUGCGCAAUGCGCGAAAGCGUGACGCAGCAACGCCGCGUGGGGGAAGAUGGCCUUCGGGUUGUAAACCCCUUUCAGUUGGGACGAAGCUUCGCGAGUUAAUAGCUUGCUGGAGUGACGGUACCUUCAGAAGAAGCCCCGGCUAACUACGUGCCAGCAGCCGCGGUAAUACGUAGGGGGCUAGCGUUGUCCGGAAUCAUUGGGCGUAAAGCGCGUGUAGGCGGUCCGGUAAGUCCGCUGUGAAAGUCGGGGGCUCAACCCUCGGAUGCCGGUGGAUACUGUCGGGCUUGAGUACGGAAGAGGCGAGUGGAAUUCCUGGUGUAGCGGUGAAAUGCGCAGAUAUCAGGAGGAAGCGCAGAUAUCAGGAGGAACACCAAUUGCGAAAGGCAGCUCGCUGGGACGUCACUGACGCUGAGACGCGAAAGCGUGGGGAGCAACAGGAUUAGAUACCCUGGUAGUCCACGCUGUAAACGAUGGCACUAGUGUGGGGGGGUGUCGACUCCCUCGGUGCCGAGCUACCGCAUUUAGUUGCCCGGCUGGGGAGUUACGACGGCAGCCUAAACUCAAGGAUUGAACGGGGGUCCGGCAC
rnacentral:rRNA from 1 species